GACCGGUUGAUUUUGCAGGAUUGAACGGAUGUUGCUAAUUCCCCGGGCAAAUGUAGUUUAUAUAUAUGGGUGUGGUUUAUAAACCAUAUUGGUAAUUUAGGUACUGCUUAAAAUUGUGACUAGAGUCAAAUACUUUUCGUGGGAUACUCAGGUGGUCAACAUGAGCUACCAAAAUGACUAUGAAGUGUGCCAGACUUUGCAGUGCCAAGAUUGAGGGGGGAGGGGGGUCAUUUCAGCAGGGAGGAAAAUGGCCUUGCAGAAAUUACCUCCCCAAAACUUGCUUCAAACUGUGACUACAGUCAAAUAUUUUUUCGGCAGGGGUGUUGAUUUUGGCACAACCGGGUUUGUGGUCCAUUGCGCAGAAUGGCAUUGCUGGACCGUAGACCGUGGUUCACAGGGGAGAGCAUGUCUAUUAUUGCUAACUAAUUAUGGAGCUAUUUUGUGAUUUCAACAGGUUAAAUUUUUACUAUACUAUACUGUUGAUAAUAUGGUUAAAAGGUAAAAGAAAAAUAAUCGACCGUCAUGGAUGGUGUGCUUUUCCUGAGUACCAGUGCAAAAGAUGCCGGCCUACUUGACAUGGAAUUGUAUGGAUUAGAAUGACAAGCAUACUGAAUGAAUAGACGAAGAAGGAGAGCGAAGAUGGAGACAGAGGAGGUCAUGGGUAAAGACUUGCCAAGCUGUGCUACGGACCUUAUGCAAAAUACACGAGCUCUGGCAUAGCCAGCCCUGCCGUAGCAUCCCAGUAAGCCUAGACAACAUCCCUGUGGGUACUUCGCCAGAGGGCAGGUUAACUAUUCUGGGGUGGGUCUGUGUGGUGGAGGAUUUAUACAGCGCUCACGAGCCCGGCUGACUGAGCCAAGUUUCCCGGUCGUAAGUUUCAGACAGGGCACUGGAUGAAGCAAAGCGAGCUAUUGACUGAAAGUAUGCCCUGUCUUCACUUGCUGUCUGAUUGAUACACGACAACACUCCGGAUGUAUGGACUAUAAUGGGAUACAUUUUCUGUGGAGCCUUUGAGACCCUCGAAGCGGCGCGUUCGUUUCUCUCCUUGAUAAACAGACCCUGGACAUCAAAGCAUUCCCCCCUCGGACUCAUCCAGUUGUUCCGUAUUAGCAGUAGACCAUAAUGACUUGCGUUACAAAUAAUUGAUAGUGCUGUGUACCGUGUCUCAUUGACUUGUGUUGCAUUACAUUCAUUUGAAUCCUAGCUACCAAUUGUUUCAUGUUAGCCCAGUUAACUGAAGUUCAGGCUUGAUGCGAUUCAUUAACAGCCCAACACAUGCAGUGGAGGGAUCAGUCAUUAGAUUAAAUGGAGUGCCACCACUAGAGUACAGUACAGUACAGAGUCAGCAAGUGCAGGUUACAAUUCGACCUAGUUCACUGCUUGUGUACAAUCGUUUGAAAAGCAACAGUCAUUGUUUUUGAGUGUUAUUGUGUUCCCUCAAUUCUCUAUAGAUACACUUGCGUCAGACCAUCUCGCAAUGCAUUACCAGCC
ensembl:lncRNA